GAAAUGCGAUAAGUAGUGUGAAUUGCAGAAUUCAGUGAAUCAUCGAAUCUUUGAACGCGCAUUGCGCCCCUCGGUAUUCCGUGGGGCAUGCCUGUUCGAGCGUCAUCUACACCCUCAAGCUCUGCUUGGUGUUGGGCGUCUGUCCCGCCUCCUUCGCGCGCGGACUCGCCCCAAAUCCAUUGGCGGCGGCCCUUGCCUCCCUCUCGCGCAGCACAUUGCGCUUCUCGAGGCGCGGCGGACCGCGUCCAGCAAGCAACCGUCACACCGUCUUUGACCUCGGAUCAGGUAGGGAUACCCGCUGAACUUAAGC
rnacentral:misc_RNA from 1 species